GACGAACGCUGGCGGCGUGCUUAACACAUGCAAGUCGAACGGAAAGGCCCGGCUUUUGUGGGGUGCUCGAGUGGCGAACGGGUGAGUAACACGCGAGUAACAUGCCCUUGACUGUGGGAUAACUUCAGGAGAAAGGGGCUAAUACCGGAUAGGAGCUCCUGCUGCACGGUGGGGGUUGGAAAGUGACGGCGGUGGGGGAUGGUCUCGCGGGUUAUCAGCUUCUUGGGGGGGUAGGGGCGGCCCAAGUCUUCGACGGGUAGCCGGCCUUGGAGGGUGGCCGGCCACAUGGCUCCUGCGAGACGGCCCAGACUCCUAUGGUCGGCAGCGGUCGGGAGUCUUGCGCAAUGGGCCGGCGCCUGUGGUGGCGACGCCGCGUUCGUGAUGACGGCUUUCGGGUUGUAAACCGCUUUCGACUGUGCCGUGGCCUGAGUGACGGUACUGGGUCAGAAAGCCCCGGCUAACUACGUG
rnacentral:rRNA from 1 species